UGGGAGUACGUUCGCAAGAAUUGAACUCAAAGGAAUUGACGGGGACCCGCACAAGCGUUGAAGCAUGUGUUUUAUUCGAAGCAACGNGAAGAACCUUACCAGGCCUUGACAUCCCGGUGACAGAGCAUGUAAUGUGCUUUCCUUCGGGGCAGCGGAGACAGGUGGUGCAUGGUUGUCGUCAGCUCGUGUCGUGAGAUGUUGGGUUAAGUCCCGCAACGAGCGCAACCCCUGUCCCCAGUAGCCAGCAGGUAAAGCUGGGCACUCUGGGGAGACUGCCGGGGACAACCCGGAGGAAGGCGGGGAUGACGUCAAAUCAUCAUGCCCCUUAUGGCCUGGGCUACACACGUGCUACAAUGGCGCAGACAGAGGGAGGCGAAGCCGCGAGGCGGAGCAAACNCCCAGAAAUGGCGCCCCAGUUCGGACUGCAGCCUGCAACCCGGCUGCACGAAGCCGGAAUCGCUAGUAAUCGCAGAUCAGAAUGCUGCGGUGAAUACGUUCCCGGGUCUUGUACACACCGCCCGUCACACCAUGGGAGUCGGAAAUGCCCGAAGUCAGUGGCCCAACCGCAAGGAGGGAGCUGCCGAAGGCAGGUCCGGUGACUGGGGUGAAGUCGUAACAAGG
rnacentral:rRNA from 1 species